GAUGAACACUGGCGGCGUGCUUAACACAUGCAAGUCGAACGAAGCUGUUUAACGGAAGCCUUCGGGUGGAAGUUAAAUAGACUGAGUGGCGGACGGGUGAGUAACGCGUGGGUAACCUGCCCUACACAGGGGGACAACAGCUGGAAACGGCUGCUAAUACCGCGUAAGCGCACAGUACCGCAUGGUACAGUGUGAAAAACUCCGGUGGUGUAGGAUGGACCCGCGUCCGAUUAGCUAGUUGGUGAGGUAAGAGCUCACCAAGGCGACGAUCGGUAGCCGGCCUGAGAGGGCGGACGGCCACAUUGGGACUGAGACACGGCCCAGACUCCUGCGGGAGGCAGCAGUGGGGGAUAUUGGUCAAUGGUCGAGAGACUGAACCAGCCAAGUAGCGUGAGGGAUGACUGCCCUAUGGGUUGUAAACCUCUUUUGUUUGGGAAUAAAGUGCGGUACGCGUACCGCUUUGUAUGUACCUUACGAAUAAGCAUCGGCUAAUUCCGUGCCAGCAGCCGCGGUAAAAC
rnacentral:rRNA from 1 species